UACAGAGGUCUCAAGCGUUGUUCGGAUUCAUUGGGCGUAAAGGGUGUGUAGGUGGCGCCGUAAGUCGGGUGUGAAAUCUCGGGGCUUAACUCCGAAACUGCAUUCGAUACUGCGGUGCUUGAGGACUGGAGAGGAGACUGGAAUUCAUGGUGUAGCAGUGAAAUGCGUAGAGAUCAUGAGGAAGACCAGUGGCGAAGGCGGGUCUCUGGACAAUAACUGACGCUGAGGAGCGAAAGCGUGGGGAGCGAACAGG
rnacentral:rRNA from 1 species